rnacentral:misc_RNA from 1 species
AACGAGGCCGACCUGCGGCUGAGUUACCUGCGGAGGGAUCAUUAAAAAACUUUGCCCGCGGACCUUGGGUCCAAGGCGCAAAACCCACACAAUGUGCACUGUUAUCGUUCUUUUGGCAGGGGCUUGGGGUGUCUUCCAACUUGGGGAACCUCAACUUCUCGUCGAGCUCUAUCCACCUCGGACAGCUGGACAUGAGAAGCAGUUACUCUGCCAAGUGACCCUUAAAAACACCCUUUUUUG